GAUGAAGAACGCAGCGAAAUGCGAUAAGUAGUGUGAAUUGCAGAAUUUAGUGAAUCAUCGAAUCUUUGAACGCACAUUGCGCCCUAUAGUAUUCUGUAGGGCAUGCCUGUUCGAGCGUUAUUGAGACCUCAAGCUCUGCUUGGAAAUGGGCGCUUGUCUUGCCUUGCAGACUCGCCUUAAAACCAUUGGCAGCUGAUUUACAAUGUUUGGUGCACAGUACAUGAGCCCAAGUGUUGCAAUGAGUGGCCCAAAAGUAUACAAUAGAAGCUUAACCUCGGAUCAGGUAGGGAUACCCGUUGAACUUAAGCAUAUCAAUAAGCGGAGGA
rnacentral:misc_RNA from 1 species